UACGUAGGGGGCAAGCGUUGUCCGGAUUUAUUGGGCGUAAAGAGCGUGUAGGCGGCCUGACAGGUCUGCUGUGAAAACUCGAGGCUCAACCUCGAGAUGUCGGCGGAAACCGUCUGGCUAGAGUCCGGAAGAGGAGAGUGGAAUUCCUGGUGUAGCGGUGAAAUGCGCAGAUAUCAGGAAGAAUAUCGAUGGCGAAGGCAGCUUUCUGGGACAUUUCUGACGCUGAGAAACGAAAGCGUGGGUAGCAAACAGG
rnacentral:rRNA from 1 species